UACGGGGGGGGCAAGCGUUGUUCGGAAUUACUGGGCGUAAAGGGCUCGUAGGCGGCCCACUAAGUCGGAUGUGAAAUCCCCAGGCUCAACCUGGGAACUGCAUCCGAUACUGGAUGGCUUGAAUUCGGGAGAGGGAUGCAGAAUUCCAGGUGUAGCGGUGAAAUGCGUAGAUAUCUGGAGGAACACCGGUGGCGAAGGCGGCAUCCUGGACCGAGAUUGACGCUGAGGCGCGAAAGCCAGGGGAGCAAACGGG
rnacentral:rRNA from 1 species